CGUAGGGGGCAAGCGUUGUCCGGAUUUAUUGGGCGUAAAGCGCUCGCAGGUGGCCCGAUGCGUCGUGCGUGAAAGACCCCGGCUCAACUGGGGAGGGUCGUGCGAUACGGUCGGGCUGGAGGCCAGUAGGGGGAUGCGGAAUUCCGGGUGUAGUGGUGGAAUGCGUAGAGAUCCGGAGGAACACCAGCGGCGAAGGCGGCAUCCUGGACUGGUCCUGACACCCAGGAGCGAAAGCGUGGGGAGCGAUCCGGAUUAGAUACCCGGGUAGUCCACGCCGUAAACGAUGCGCACUAGGUGUCGGGGGUAUCGACCCCCUCGGUGCCGCAGCUAACGCGAUAAGUGCGCCGCCUGGGGACUACGGCCGCAAGGCUA
rnacentral:rRNA from 1 species